UACGGAGGGUGCGAGCGUUGCUCGGAAUUACUGGGCGUAAAGCGUGCGCAGGCGGCAUGUCAAGUCAGACGUGAAAGACCGGGGCUCAACCUCGGGAGGUCGUUUGAAACUGGCAAGCUCGAGUACGGGAGAGGGGUGUGGAAUUCCCAGUGUAGGAGUGAAAUCCGUAGAUAUUGGGAGGAACACCAGUGGCGAAGGCGACACCCUGGCCCGAGACUGACGCUCAGGCACGAAAGCGUGGGGAGCAAACAGGAUUAGAUACCCUCGUAGUCC
rnacentral:rRNA from 1 species